CUUCCCCCUUAGAGUUUGAUCCUGGCUCAGGAUGAACGCUAGCGGCAGGCUUAAUACAUGCAAGUCAAGGGGUAGCAAUACACCGGCGGACGGGUGCGUAACGCGUACACAACAUACCCUUAAGCGGGGGAUAGCAUUGGGAAACUGAUGGUAAUACCCCAUGGUGUUGGAUCAUGGCAUCAUGAUUCAACUAAAGGUUACACUUAAGGAUUGGUGUGCGUAUGAUUAGCUAGUUGGUAGGGUAACGGCCUACCAAGGCGAUGAUCAUUAGGGGGUGUGAGAGCAUGACCCCCCACACGGGUACUGAGGCACGGACCCGACUCCUACGGGAGGCAGCAGUAAGGAAUAUUGGACAAUGGUCGGAAGACUGAUCCAGCCAUGCCGCGUGAAGGACGAAGGCGCUCUGCGUUGUAAACUUCUUUUGGACAGGAACAAAAAGUCGGAUGCGUCCGGCCCUGAGGGUACUGUCAGAAUAAGCACCGGCUAACUCCGUGCCAGCAGCCGCGGUAAUACGGAGGGUGCAAGCGUUAUCCGGAAUCACUGGGUUUAAAGGGUGCGUAGGUGGCUUAAUAAGUCAGCUGUGAAAUGUCUGGGCUUAACCGAGGCAUUGCGGUUGAUACUGUUAGGCUUGAAUCAAGUUGAGGUGGCUAGAAUGUGACAUGUAGCGGUGAAAUGCAUAGAUAUGUCAUAGAAUACCAAUUGCGAAGGCAGGUUGCUAGACUUUGAUUGACACUGAGCACGAAAGGCGGUGGGAGAUCAACAGGAUUAGAUACCCUGUAGUCCACGCCCUAACGAUGCUUACUAGCUGUGUUUGGAAGUUAUUUCUGGGGCGGCCAAGCGAAGUCGAUAGUCAGCUAGCUGGAGGAGUUACGCCCGCAGAUGAAACUCAAAGUAAUUGACGGCGUUCGCCAGCGGUGAACCUGUGUCACUCGAUGAUCGCGAGCAAUCCUUUAA
rnacentral:rRNA from 1 species